rnacentral:misc_RNA from 1 species
AACGCACAUUGCACCCUCUGGUAAUCCAGAGGGUAUGCCUGUUUGAGUGUCAUUAGCAACAUCAAAUCCAGAUUUUGCUCUGUGAUUUGGACUUUGAAGGCUUUGCUGACUGUUAAAGUCAGCUCCUUUUAAAUGCAUUAGCAGGUUGCAAACAACUGGCCCCAGUUUGAUAGACUUAAUCAUCUGUGCUGUCGCUAGUAGUUUUGACCGCUGCAAAUUGUCUUUGGACUUGCCAUCAGGCAAUACAUUUAAGUCUUGACCUCAAAUCAGGUAGGAUUACCCGCUGAACUUAA